rnacentral:rRNA from 1 species
UACGUAGGGUGCGAGCGCUAAUCGGAAUUACUGGGCGUAAAGCGUGCGCAGGCGGUUUUGUAAGACAGAGGUGAAAUCCCCGGGCUCAACCUGGGAACUGCCUUUGUGACUGCAAGGCUUGAGUGCGGCAGAGGGGGAUGGAAUUCCGCGUGUAGCAGUGAAAUGCGUAGAUAUGCGGAGGAACACCGAUGGCGAAGGCAAUCCCCUGGGCCUGCACUGACGCUCAUGCACGAAAGCGUGGGGAGCAAACAGG